rnacentral:rRNA from 1 species
AAGAAGGUAACUUUGGAAUUGGCUCUUGUCUAUGUUCCUUGGAACAGGACGUCACAGAGGGUGAGAAUCCCGUGCGAUGAGAUGUCCAAUUCUAUGUAAAGUGCUUUCGAAGAGUCGAGUUGUUUGGGAAUGCAGCUCUAAGUGGGUGGUAAAUUCCAUCUAAAGCUAAAUAUUGGCGAGAGACCGAUAGCGAACAAGUACAGUGAUGGAAAGAUGAAAAGAACUUUGAAAAGAGAGUGAAAAAGUACGUGAAAUUGUUGAAAGGGAAGGGCUUGAGAUCAGACUUGGUAUUUUGUGUUCCUUAUCCUUCUUGGAUUAGGUUCCUCACAGCUUACCGGGCCAGCAUCGGUUUGGAUGGCAGGAUAAUGACAUUGGAAUGUAGCUUUGCUUCGGUGAAGUGUUAUAGACUUUGUUGAUACUGCCUAUCUAGACCGAGGACUGCGUCUUUGACUAGGAUGCUAGCGUAAUGAUCUUAAGCCGCCCGUCUUG